GGGGGCGAGGCCGGGGCGGCGAGAGGAGCGGAACCCGCGGGGUGAGCGGCCGCCACCGACGGCGCCCUCUGGCGGCAGGCGCGGACAGCGACCGGACAACGGAGCCGCUGAGGGGACCAGCCCUGAGACCCAAGCGGAGCCCGAGGGACACGCGGGCCAGAGAGACGGCGGCCGGAUGGAGGCGAGAGCCUCUCUGAGGAGUUUAUGGGGAAGAGUCAAGGCUAUGGCAGUCCGACGGAGAAGAGCCGCGAGGGGUGUUUAGAGGUCGGAACCGGGAUGGUCCUUACAGAGGACGCCAUGAAGGACGAGGGCCCUGUGGCGGAGGGGGUCCUGUGGCGGAGGACACGAGGAUUCGAGGCGCCGGAACUCCCACAGCCCUCACGGGCCUGUGACAGAAGCUGUCGGCGGAGCGCCCGGAGCUCGGCCCGCUGGUCAAGAGGCCGCAGGCCCAGCCGCUGAUUGGCUGCGGCGCCGGGCGGAAGUGAUGUCGCUGUCAGUGGCGCCUCCGGCUCCGGGGAAGCCGAGAGUUUCCGUAGGGUGGGGGCUGCGGCGGCAGCAGCAGCAGCGACAGUAGCAACAGAGGCUGUGGGUGAGUCGGGAAGAAAUGUAGUGGAGGCUGGACCUCGGAUAUACGGGGGACCAUGGACCGGGGCUGGUCGGCGUCUGCGGAGGAGGUCCUUCGCUGAGGGCACCUUGGGUCCUGGCGUGGGCGACCCCAGAGGGACCGGGUCUCCGGGUCGUAGGUUCCGGACAGCAUCGGUCCUAAGGAGAGAGAGGCACAUUGCACGGAGCAGCUGAGUCCGCGUGGGAGUGGGGGCAUCAGAAAACUCACUCUGUACAGACCCUGGUUCCUGUGAGUGGGGAGGCGGGGCUUGAAGGACGGUGGUUUAAGAGCAGAAUCUUGAGCAGGAAAGGUGCCCGUCUACCUUAGUUGAGGGUGAUGGGAGUCUAUUUUCAGAAAGUGCUUAAGAUUUCUUGCUCAGAGGUCUGAGAAUAAGUGCUGCUGUGCCUCUGGACCACAGGGAGAAAAAAACAAACAAACAAACAAAACAAAACAAAAACAAAACUCGGUUUCUCUUCCAGAAAUCUCUGUUGGAACCUACAGAGAUUGUAGGAGCCUGCCUGAGUGGAUGGCUGCUAUCAAACCAGACUUUGGAUUUACUUAUAUGCAGACUAGGGAAGACACCUGGGUAUCUUGGGCCAAAUUGAAGCAGCCCCAGGGGCAGGAAGAAUGUAAUAGGAAAUAUGCCAUGGAACUUAAGGACAUGGUGGCCCACACCUAUAAUAACAGCAGUAAAGGGGUGGAAGCAAGAGUUCUCAGCCAACCUUUAUUAUAUAAAGAAAGCUUGUUUAAGCCGGAUGUUGGUGGCACACACCUUUGUUAUCCCAGCACUCUGGAAGCGGAAGCAGGCUGGCUCUCUUGAGUUCCAGGCCAGCCUGGUAUACAGAGGAAGGGAGGUCCAAGGAGUCUUUGGUAAAACAGUCUUUCCAGAAUGUUUUAAGUCGGUACCAUCCAAGUGUAUGUCUGGACACCAAGACUGCUGCAGUGUGGGCUUGGUAGACAGUAGUGAGUUUUAAAUGAGCUCAAGACCCCACAUGUGCCUUGUUCCUGCCCCCACAGUUGCUCGAAAGUUCUAAUUUGGUGGGGUUUUUUCCCCUUUGAGUGGUUGAAGACAGGGCUGGAGCCUGUGCCCUCACUGAAAAUCCAACUUGGUGAGACGGGGCCAGCUCCUUAGUCCUUCUUGCCAGUCAUUUCCUCUCUCCCAGUUACCCACAUGCACUUAUACUACAUUUUAUUUCCAUUAUCUGGCUUUCUCCCUGAUUGACAGUUAGGUCUUGCUAAGCCCUUAAAGAAGCAAAUGAAAAUAACAUGAUAGGUUAAGAAGUGGGGUAUCUGGGUUCUGUAUUGGUGUGGCCUUAUUGUGAUGAAUGUCUCCUAGUCUGUGGCCUGUUUUAGAUCCCUGGAAAUGACAUUUAACACUGGUCACUGGUCAGGCCUGGCCUUCACUUUAGUUUCUGCUUUGCUGGCUUUAGUGGGACACCUUUUUGUUGUUGUUUCUGUACUUGGGGUCCACAGGUCUGCAGCUGUGUUCCCAGUCGACACUCACUGCUCACAGUGAAGGUGACAUCUCCCUCCAUUUUCACAAGAUGAGUGUGGUAUGGUUACCCAGGCCAGGACCUAAACUUCACAGAGAGCCCAGCCUGCUGUUCUGAUGCCGAAAGGGAGGCAGAAAGUCCCACACUUGGAUGCCCACCUGGGCCUGCCCAUCUGCCUCUGGCUGGAAUUAGCCAUCUUCUUUCUGGUUCCCCAGGUCAUGGGCCUAUCAGAGGCAGGUGGGCUUGACAUCUUGGGCACAGGGGGGCUGAGCUGGGCCGUACAUCUGGACAGCCUAGAAGGUGAGAGGAAGGAAGAGAGUCUGACGCAACAGGCCGAUGCUGUGGCCCAGGCAGCAGGGCUUGUGAAUGCUGGGCGCAUUGGAGAACUCCAGGGGCACUACCUCUUUGUCCAGCCUACUGGGCAUAGGCAAGCCAUGGAGGUGGAGGCCAUGCGGCAACAGGCAGAGGCUGUGUUAGCCAGGCAUGAAGCUGUGCGCUGGCACUCGGAGCAAACGCUGCUGAAGAGGGCCAAGCGCAGUAUCCACUUCAAUGAUCCCAAGUACCCUCAACAGUGGCACCUGAAUAAUCGGCGGAGCCCAGGAAGAGACAUCAAUGUGACAGGUGUGUGGGAGCGAAAUGUAACUGGGCGUGGGGUGACAGUGGUGGUGGUGGAUGACGGAGUGGAACACACCGUCCAGGACAUCGCACCCAACUACAGUCCAGAGGGAAGUUAUGACCUCAACUCUAAUGACCCAGAUCCCAUGCCCCACCCUGAUGAGGAGAAUGGUAACCACCAUGGGACCCGGUGUGCAGGAGAAAUUGCAGCUGUGCCCAACAACAGCUUCUGUGCAGUGGGUGUGGCCUACGGGAGCCGAAUAGCAGGUAUCCGGGUGCUGGAUGGACCACUUACUGACAGUAUGGAGGCUGUGGCGUUCAACAAGCACUAUCAGAUCAAUGACAUCUACAGCUGCAGCUGGGGCCCAGAUGAUGAUGGGAAGACAGUGGAUGGUCCUCAUCAGCUCGGAAAGGCUGCCUUACAACAUGGAGUGAUGGCUGGUCGCCAAGGCUUUGGAAGUAUCUUUGUGGUUGCCAGUGGUAAUGGGGGCCAGCACAAUGACAACUGCAACUAUGAUGGCUAUGCCAACUCCAUCUACACUGUCACCAUAGGAGCUGUGGAUGAGGAGGGACGGAUGCCUUUUUAUGCAGAGGAGUGUGCCUCCAUGCUGGCAGUCACCUUCAGUGGUGGAGACAAGAUGCUGCGGAGCAUUGUGACCACUGACUGGGACCUUCAGAAGGGCACUGGCUGCACUGAAGGCCACACAGGAACCUCAGCUGCAGCUCCUCUGGCAGCUGGAAUGAUAGCCCUCAUGCUGCAGGUGCGGCCCUGCCUCACAUGGCGGGAUGUACAGCACAUAAUUGUCUUCACAGCCAUCCAGUAUGAAGAUCAUCAUGCAGACUGGCUCACCAAUGAGGCUGGCUUCAGCCACAGCCAUCAGCAUGGUUUCGGCCUGCUCAACGCUUGGAGACUUGUCAAUGCAGCCAAGAUCUGGACAUCUGUCCCUUACUUAGCCUCCUAUGUCAGCCCCAUGCUGAAAGAAAAUAAGGCUGUUCCGAGGUCCCCCCACUCUCUGGAGGUGCUAUGGAAUGCAGGACGGACCUGGAGAUGUCGGGGCUGAAGACCUUGGAACAUGUGGCAGUGACAGUCUCCAUCACUCACCCACGACGUGGCAGCUUAGAACUGAAACUGUUUUGUCCCAGUGGCAUGAUGUCUUUGAUCGGCGCGCCCCGCAGCAUGGACUCGGAUCCUAAUGGCUUCAAUGCUUGGACCUUUUCCACUGUGCGGUGCUGGGGGGAAAGAGCAAGAGGCGUCUACAGACUGGUUAUCAGGGAUGUAGGAUAGCAACAAAAAUUCCUUGUUGAAACCACAUUUCAAGCCCUUUCACAUAUAACCAUCCUUCGGCCAGUCCUGAUAGGCAGGAGAUGAGCCGCUCCAGAUGGGCAUCCUCCAGCAGUGGCAGCUGACCCUGUAUGGCUCCAUGUGGAGUCCAGUAGACAUCAAGGACAGACAAAGUCUCUUAGAAAGUGCUAUGAGUGGAAAAUACCUGCAUGAUGGCUUCACCCUGCCUUGCCCACCUGGGCUGAAAAUCCCUGAGGAGGAUGGCUACACCAUUACCCCUAACACACUCAAGACCCUUGUGCUGGUAGGCUGCUUCAGUGUCUUCUGGACUAUUUACUACAUGCUAGAAGUGUGCCUGAGCCAGAGGAACAAGGCUUCCACCCAUGGCUGCAGGAAGGGAUGCUGCCCCUGGGCCCCACGAAGGCAAAACUCCAAGGAUGCAGGGACAGCACUAGAAUCAAUGCCACUGUGCAGCAGCAAGGACCUGGAUGGAGUGGAUUCAGAGCAUGGGGACUGCACAACUGCAUCUAGCUUCCUGGCCCCAGAGCUGGAUUGUCCUCCACACCAACCCCCAGACCUGCUGCAGGGGAAGAGCGGGCAGAUUUGCUGACCCCAGAGCCCAGCUUCCCCCAUGUACAACAGGCACUUCCUAAACUCGGUUAUGAGGCUUUCAAUCGUGGAAGCUCAGGAGGGAAUGGUCCUGAUAGUGACAUCUGGGACCCCAGGCCUCUGAAGCAUUUGCAGCCUCCUCAGGAGGGUGAGGGCCAUCUUAAUGCAGUGGUAAGGGACUGGUGAUCAUGGCUUCUCUAGCUGAACUUGGCUGAGAACCUUUGACAAGGGAUUGGCACCAAGACCAGGCAGCCCUUGAUUUCCUCGCUCUCUGGAGCUAGUCAGUGUCCUAGACCACCAGGACCUCUACUCAUUCAUGAGUUAGUUAUGCAGCAAGUCCCUAUAUACCUAGAAAUGCUCUUGUCAGAAGUGUCACUGCCAAGGGACCAGAGAGAGGCUGCUAAGAGCCUGGACAUGCCUACCCUGAAAGCAGCUGCCUUCAUUACCCUUUUCUGUGCGCCUGUUCUGAAGCCAACUUAAACCUGUCCACAUCUUCACUACCAUUCGCCCUUUCUGCUGAAGGAAUGGUGACGUGUUCCCAGGAGAACUGGGAGGCACAGGAUUCCCAGCACCCUUGCUGCCUCAUUGGGGAAGUUGGCCAGCUGGACUUCAGAGAGCUAAGACACAGCAUUUUCAAAGAUAGCCUGGGAGCACUGUCUCUGACCACCUGUCUUCCUCUGCACCGUGCUCAGGGAAAUGGCCUUCAUUCCAGAGGCCAGCUGUCUGCCUGACUUUUCCUCCGUUCUUGGCCUUCUCCCCUUCCCAUCUUCUGAGCUAAUUGUUAAUAUGAAUUUUUUAAUGCUUAAGAUUUGAUUUUUACUUUUCAAAGCAACAUUUUGUUGAAUUUUUUUCUGCACAGCUUUCCAAAAUAAAAAGCAGAAGUAUAAAAACCCAAACAAGUCCACCACUCCCAGUAUUCUCUCCUUCUGCCAAACCAGAGCUAUGCAGAUGCAGGUCACUCUUCUUCUCCAUAGCCUGCUUCCUCUGAAGCUCUGAGCCUGUGGGGCCAGAGGAGUCAUCCAGAAGCCAUCGGCCAGGAACGUGUGAGCCCAACAUGCUUCCACCCUCAGGGUUCCUGGAAUGCUAACAGGAGUGACAAACCAAACUGCCAGCCAGGCCGGAGAAAAGAUGGAGAUACAUGUAUAUAUAUAUAUAUUUAUAUAUUUUUCUUUUUUCCUUUUUGAAUUUCAACCCAAAAACAUAUUCCAGGAAAAGAUGUAGAGGCUGGGCUGGGUCUCCUUCAAAGGACAUUCGAUAUCAAGGACAGUGGGCUGGCCUACAGCCAGGCUACCCCAGCCCACUUCUCCCUGCUUACUCCAGGAUGAGAGGAACAGUAGAGGUGGGGGUACAGCUGGGAACAGGGGCCAGGGCAGUGGUGGCUCUGGGGUAAGAUGCUGGGCUGAGGCUAAGGAUAGGUGGGAGCUGCCCAUGUGCAGUCAUCUUUGCCCAGUGACACCUCAGAGCUGUCAGGGCUAAGAACCUACAUAGGCAUUUGUGAGGCAGGCUAAGCAGGAUGCUGCAGCUCAGGGCUGGCCUUCCCUUUCUAACUGAUGAUCUGCCGGGGUCGCCCAUAGCCUGUCAUGCCAGCCUGCGAGGCUCCUCUGUUGCUGCCCAUUUGAAGGCCAAUGACGUGCUUCCCCUCCUGCAGUUGGCUGUCUGUGAAGUCCCUCUUAUGCUCCUGGGCUUUCCUAGAAGAAAAGGAACCAGGGUAAGGCUUGCUAGAACUUAGUGUUCUCCAACUGUUUCCUGAUCCCUGCUGCUUCCCUGUUCGACUCCCUUCCUUUCCUGUUUGUCUUCUCUUUUUUUCCCCUGAGUUUGGCUCCAGGAGUUAGGGAGCCUGGUGGAGCACACGCUGGCAAAAGGUAGGAAUGCAGAAGUAGGACCUCAUUUCCCCUAGUCCAACACCCUUACCUGGGACGUCCCUGGCUCUGCUACACCUGAUCUUUACCACAACUGACCAGCCCAAGCCACCCCAACCCCACAGAGAGACCCAGUGGACACAUACUUCAUAAACCAGUUGGGAUCUCCACGGUAGUUUCCAUCGUUUUUGGUCACAGCCAAACUGCCCAAAGCCAUUAGAGUCCUCUGCACUGCUGCCAUAUCCUUACCUAUGAGAAGAGUGGCCAGGGAGCUAAUUUCAGGACCAUAUAGGCAAUACCUGCCCAGCUUCAAAAAUGGUCCAACCAAGAGCAAGUGGCACCAAAUCAAGAGGGUUCAAGAGACCAUAUUCUAAACCCUAGUGAGUAUGGUGUGGUAUAUAUUUGAUAUUCUAGGAUCCAAAACAGGCCCUUGUACCCAGAAGGGAAAUGCUGUACCACCAAGCUGGUCCCCUUGCUAUGUGUUCUCUUGGCAUAUCCCAUUCCUGCUAUGAACACAUCAACAGAGCUGGUUGUGGCUUUUGAUAUUCCUUCUCCUUGACUGAUAAUCUUGCUCUCCACUCGCCCACUGGCUCCAGCCCUUUUUUCCUUAUACCUUCAUAGAGGUCAACAGUCUGGAACAUGUCAGUCUUGAUGACUCCAUAAUCUUCAGCUGCCUUCAAGAAUUGAGCCACCUGUUCCAUCUGCUUAAAGACCAUGGAGGGUGGGUUCUCAGGCACCUUCACUGGCUUCGAUCCCUCAGGAUACAGGCUGUUCACCAAUUUGCUCAGAAUCUGCCAGGUACAGAACACAACUGAACACUCAGCUCAGGGAGUCUGUCUCACAGUUUGUAGGGUGGCAUACACAUCCCUAGAUUCCCUUCGCAAGGGUUACUCACCACACCAUUCUUCAGCCACACCUGGAAGCCCAGGCGCCCACGAUCUGGGCGGCCUACAUCAGGGCCACACUGCACUACAAUCCACUCCACUAGUCGCUCCUCCAGCUCCUCGUCAUACUUCUUCUCAAUUUUGGACUGCACUUCUCGGCUCAUGCCGUAGGAUGGACCCUUGUUGGCCAUGUUGAGGCAGAGCUAAAGUAUAGAGUGUGGAGAAAAGAACAAAGAGCCAGCAAGUUACUUUACUUCAUUUGUGCUAAGCAGGCCUUCCACUCUGAGGGACCCUAGACAUCAUAGCAUGACCUAGACCAGCUUUACCCACUUGCUGCAGAGACCCCUCUGAACUUGAACCUCAGAAAACAAGGUCUUAGAUAUUUGUCAGUCUAGAGCAAGAGUCUGUCAACUUUUUAUGUAAAACAGCAGAGUAAAUAUUUUAGACUUUACAGACCAUAUGGCCUCUAUUGUAUGAAAAUAGCCUAGCUGAUACAUAACCAAUGUGUGCCAAUAAAAUUUUGUUUAUAAAAA